CAUCUAAGUACCCCGAGGAAAAGAAAUCAACCGAGAUUCCCCCAGUAGCGGCGAGCGAACGGGGAGGAGCCCAGAGACUGAAUCAGCAUGUGUGUUAGUGGAAGCGUCUGGAAAGGCGCGCGAUACAGGGUGACAGCCCCGUACACAAAAGCGCAUGUGCUGUGAGCUCGAUGAGUAGGGCGGGACACGUGGUAUCCUGUCUGAAUAUGGGGGGACCAUCCUCCAAGGCUAAAUACUCCUGACUGACCGAUAGUGAACCAGUACCGUGAGGGAAAGGCGAAAAGAACCCCGGCGAGGGGAGUGAAAAAGAACCUGAAACCGUGUACGUACAAGCAGUGGGAGCCCCACCACCAAAGCAUUCUCUGGUGUUGAAGGCCCUGCAAAGCAGCAUCGCGGUGGCGGAGCGUCGUUUGCGA
rnacentral:rRNA from 1 species